rnacentral:rRNA from 1 species
AUUGAACGCUGGCGGCAUGCCAUACACAUGCAAGUCGAACGGCAGCGCGGACUUCGGUCUGGCGGCGAGUGGCGAACGGGUGAGUAACAUAUCGGAACGGGCCCUGGAGUGGGGGAUAACUAGUCGAAAGACUAGCUAAUACCGCAUACGCCCUGAGGGGGAAAGUGGGGGAUCGCAAGACCUCAUGCUCGUGGAGCGGCCGAUAUCUGAUUAGCUAGUUGAUGGGGUAAAGGCCUACCAAGGCGACGAUCAGUAGCUGGUCUGAGAGGACGACCACCCACACUGGGACUGAGACACGGCCCAGACUACUACGGGAGGCAGCAGUGGGGAAUCUUGGACAAUGGGGGCAACCCUGAUCCAGCAAUGCCGCGUGAGUGAAGAAGGCCUUCGGGUUGUAAAGCUCUUUUGUCCGGGAAGAAAUCCCAUCCCUGAAUACGGGGUGGGGAUGACGGUACUGGAAGAAUAAGCACCGGCUAACUACGUGCCAGCCGCCGCGGUAAUAC